CGUCUCUGGUUCCCUUUCCCAUGGGAUCUGAACCCCUGUCCUGGUGGUCGUAAGAGGAGGACUAGUUAUACUGAAGCUGUCCUCACGAGGCCUGUAGUCCGCUUUAUAGCAUGUGGGCUAGUUUCAAACAAGG
rnacentral:snoRNA from 1 species